rnacentral:rRNA from 1 species
AUUGAACGCUGGCUGCAGGCCUAACACAUGCAAGUCGAACGAGUGGCGGACGGGUGAGUAAUGUCUGGGAAACUGCCUGAUGGAGGGGGAUCACUACUGGAAACGGUAGCUAAUACCGCCUACCAUCGGAUGUGCCCAGAUGGGCUUAGCUAGUAGGGGGGGUAAAGGCUCACCUAGGCGACGAUCCCUAGCUGGUCUGAGAGGAUGACCAGCAAAACUGGAACUGAGACACGGUCAAGACUCCUACGGGAGGCAGCAGUGGGGAAUAUUGGACAAUGGGCGAAAGCCUGAUCCAGCCAUGCCGCGUGUGUGAAGAAGGUCUUCGGAUUGUAAAGCACUUUAAGUUGGGAGGCGUUACCAACAGAAUAAGCACCGGCUAACUUCGUGCCAGCAGCCGCGGUAAUUC